GCGCUCGUAGCUCAGUUGGAUAGAGCACUGGUUUCCGGUACCAGAAGUCGGGGGUUCAAAUCCUCCCGGGCGCG
rnacentral:tRNA from 1 species